AUGAAAAUAGCCUUGGAGGAAGACCCAGGUUCGGCCGCCGAAACCCAGGUUCGGCCGCCGAAUCCCAAGUUCGGCCGCCGAACAUGCAUGCACUUCGGGAGUGCUUUAGGCCCCCGAAGGCAUAAGUGAGGGAAGUCCAGGUUCGGCCGCCGAACCUCAUGUUCGGCCGCCGAACAUGGCAUGCAUGCGGAGGCACGUUCGGCUCCCGAAUGUGGCCUGGCCAGCCACCUAUAAAGGGGUCCCUUAGCCGAAAUGGGCGAGUUUUCUCCCCAUUUUCGGCCAAGGUGAGCUCUCCGCCGUCCCUCACCGAUUUUGAGUUUCU
rnacentral:lncRNA from 1 species